rnacentral:rRNA from 1 species
UACGGAGGAUCCGAGCGUUAUCCGGAUUUAUUGGGUUUAAAGGGUGCGCAGGCGGGGAGAUUAAGUCGGCGGUGAAAUUUUGCAGCUCAACUGUAAAAGUGCCUUCGAUUACUGGUUUCCUUGAGUGUGGAUGAAGUAGGCGGAAUUUGUGGUGUAGCGGUGAAAUGCAUAGAUAUCACGAGGAACUCCGAUUGCGCAGGCAGCUUACUAAACCAUAACUGACGCUCAGGCACGAAGGCGUGGGGAUCAAACAGGAUUAGAUACCCCCU